rnacentral:rRNA from 1 species
UACGGAGGGUGCGAGCGUUGUCCGGAAUCAUUGGGCGUAAAGGGCGCGUAGGUGGCCCGGUCAGUCUUUGGUGAAAGCGCGGGGCUCAACCCUGCGUCGGCCAGGGAUACUGCCGCGGCUCGAGCACUGUAGAGGCAGGCGGAAUUCCUGGUGUAGCGGUGGAAUGCGCAGAUAUCAGGAGGAACACCAACGGCGAAGGCAGCUCGCUGGGACGGUACUGACGCUGAGGCGCGAAAGCGUGGGGAGCGAACAGG